GGGUCGGUACUCAAGCGGUCAACGAGGACAGACUGUAAAUCUGUUGGCUCUGCCUUCGCAGGUUCGAAUCCUGCCCGGCCCA
rnacentral:tRNA from 1 species